rnacentral:rRNA from 1 species
CAGAGACCUCAAGCGUUAUCCGGAAUCAUUGGGCGUAAAGCGUACCGAUAGGUGGUUGAAAUAGUCUUGGGUAAAAGCCAGAAGCUCAACUUCUGAGUUUGCUUAAGAUACUUUUCGACUAGAGGGGCAAAGAGGUGCUUGGAACGAAUGGUGUAGUAGUGAAAUGCGUUGAUAUCAUUCGGAACACCGAAAGCGAAGGCAGAGCACUGGGUGCCACCUGACACUGCUAGGACGAAAGCGUGGGUAGCGAAUGGGAUUAGAUACCCCAGUAGUCCACGCUAUAAACGAUGAAUACUAGGCAUGCGCGAGUAUCGACCCUCGUGCGAGCCGUAGCUAACGCGUUAAGUAUUCCGCCUGGGGAGUACGGCCGCAAGGCUA